CGGCGGACGGGUGAGUAACGCGUGGGGAACCUGCCCUAUACAGGGGGAUAACAGUUAGAAAUGACUGCUAAUACCGCAUAAGCGCACGGAGCCGCAUGGCGCUGAGUGAAAAACGAUAGUGGUAUAGGAGGGACCCGCGUCUGAUUAGGUAGUUGGUGAGGUAACGGCCCACCAAGCCGACGAUCAGUAGCCGACCUGAGAGGGUGACCGGCCACAUUGGGACUGAGACACGGCCCAAACUCCUACGGGAGGCAGCAG
rnacentral:rRNA from 1 species